CCUACGGGCGGCAGCAGUGAGGAAUAUUGGUCAAUGGGCGCGAGCCUGAACCAGCCAAGUCGCGUGAGGGAAGACGGUCCUAUGGAUUGUAAACCUCUUUUGUCGGGGAGCAAAAGACGCCACGCGUGCCGUUCCGAGAGUACCCGAAGAAAAAGCAUCGGCUAACUCCGUGCCAGCCGCCGCGGUAAUACGGAGGAUGCGAGCGUUAUCCGGAUUUAUUGGGGUUAAAGGGUGCGCAGGGGGAAGGUCAAUUCAGCGGGAAAAUUGAGAGGCUCAACCUCUUCGAGCCGGUGAAACUGGUUUUCUUGAGUGAGUGAGAAGUAUGCGGAAUGCGUGGUGUAGCGGUGAAAUGCAUAGAUAUCACGCAGAACUCCGAUUGCGAAGGCAGCAUACCGGCGCUCAACUGACGCUCAUGCACGAAAGUGUGGGUAUCGAACAGGAUUAGAUACCCGAGUAGUC
rnacentral:rRNA from 1 species